AUUGAACGCUGGCGGCAUGCCUUACACAUGCAAGUCGAACGGCAGCACGGGAGCAAUCCUGGUGGCGAGUGGCGAACGGGUGAGUAAUAUAUCGGAACGUGCCCAGUCGUGGGGAUAACGUAGCGAAAGCUACGCUAAUACCGCAUACGAUCUAUGGAUGAAAGCGGGGGAUCGCAAGACCUCGCGCGAUUGGAGCGGCCGAUAUCAGAUUAGGUAGUUGGUGAGGUAAAGGCUCACCAAGCCGACGAUCUGUAGCUGGUCUGAGAGGACGACCAGCCACACUGGGACUGAGACACGGCCCAGACUCCUACGGGAGGCAGCAGUGGGGAAUAUUGGACAAUGGGCGCAAGCCUGAUCCAGCAAUGCCGCGUGCAGGAUGAAGGCCUCGG
rnacentral:rRNA from 1 species